CUAUUUGUCCCAAAUCUUGCAGAGAGUUUUGUGGAUAAUCCACUGCCCUACAUUUAAUCUCGUCUGGGUUCUGACAGGUUAUCUUUCCAGAAUUCCACAAUGUAUUAAUGGUUUCAGUUUCGAAUCCUUCUGGCUCUUUACUGGGUGUAUUGCUAUUUAUCCAGCUUGACCAUUCACAAAUAAUACAGGUGUAAGGUGUUGUUGUAACUGUAGUAGUACUUGUUGUAGAUGGUGUUUCUGUUGAUGUUGGCGUUAUUGUAGAUGGUGUUGUUUCUGUUGAU